ensembl:lncRNA novel transcript
GACUUUUGACUGGGAAAGAACAGAACUGAAUAAGCCUCAAUGAAAUAGAAUACAAAUUUCAGAGUCCAGAGAGCUUGGGUUCUGAAGCAAUUUCAUCCUGAUAUCAGCACUACAUUAAAUUUCUUGGGCAUCAUGAAUGAUUUUCUUAUCGACAUCUUUGAGCACAUCACCACCAAGGCUGGCUGCCAGGUUGCUACACUGAGUGCUCCACUAUCACCUCCAGAGAGAUCCAGACCACCCGAGCCUGAUGCUGUCUGGGGAUAUCCACAAACACGCUGUAUUGAAAACCAAAGGGCUCUGAGACAGUCCUCCUUUCUUGAGGAGACAAACUCCAGCCUGUGACUGAUUGCAGAGUCUUCUGGCAAGCUUCAGAGUAAAACAAAAACUAUUUGUGGAUGACAAAGGCUUAAAAUGGGACUGUGGUUAAUUUUUUGAUGGUAAUUUUCGGAAGUGAAAGAACUGAUGUGUCUAUAACAGGAAUAAUGCAAUCGACAGAAAAUUUGGUUAUUUCUGUGACACAAAGGUAAUAAAGUUAAUCCACAAAGUUUUAAACACAAUGUAUUUAAAGAUAGUCAUUAUACAGAUUUUCAGUGAAGACAGUGAAUAUUACAUCUGAUUUACAAAAAAGAUGAACAUAAUUUUUAUAAAGGAAAAAUAUUUGGAUUUAAUAAUUCAAGAACACACAAUGUACAUAAUAUACCAUGAGUAUAUUAAGAAUUCAGUAGUAAUAUAUACCAAUAGAAUAUCAAGUUGAGAUUCAGUAAGUCCAGAGUAGAUCCUAAACAUCUAUAAUUUAGUAAAGCCUCAUAGGAAAUAUUUUACAGAUGUAUGUACACAGGUUUAACUAGGUAUCACUGUGUAACUUGCAAUUUUCACCAAAUAUUGUUUCUGAAAUUUAUCUACAUUCUAAUUGCUGUAGCUUUAGUACAUUCAUUUUUACUGGUAUAUUGUAUUCCAUUGUAUGAUUGUAGUAUGAUUUAUCCAGAAUAAUCUGUUGAUGGACAUUUCAAUUGUUUUCGGAUUUGUGCUGUUAAAAACAGUGGUGCACAAAUAUUAAUUUUACCUGUUUUUUAAACAUACCAGUGGGAUUAUACAGUAUUCCCUGUUUUUGCUUGGCUUCUUUUGUGUUUUUUUAAAUUUAAAAUUUUUAAUUUCUGCGGGUGCCUAGUAGAUGUAUAUAUUUAUGGGAUACAUGAGAUGUUUUGGUACAGUUAUACAAUGUGAAAUAAUCACAUCACAGAACAUGAAGUAUCCAUUCCCUCAAGCAUUUAUCCCCUGUGUUACAAACAAUCCAAUUAUACUCUUUUAGUUAUUUUAAAAUGUAUACUAAAAUUACUAUUGACUAUAAUCUCCCUGUUGUGCUACCAAAUACUAGGUCUUAUUCAUUCUGACUACUUUUUGUGCCCGUUAACCAUCCCUCCUUCCCCUUCAUCCUUCCACUACCUUCUCCAGCCUCUGGUAACCAUCCUUCUACUCUCUAUUUCCAUGAGUUCAACUUUCUUUUGCUCAACAUGUCUGUGACACUUAAGAAACAUAUCAACCAAGUGCAAUAUGGGGCCCUUGUUUGGACCAUAAUUGGAACAAACCAACUGUACAAAAAGCAUUUGUGCAACAAUUGAUAUUGAUAUUUGAUAUUAAUGAGUUACUAUCAAAUUUUUUCUAGGUGUGACAAUGGUAUUGUGCUUAUGUUUAAAAGAGCUCUCAUCUUUUAGAGAUUCAUACUGAAAUACUUAUGGAUGAAAAUAUAUUAUUUGCUUCAAAAUGGUGGAGGUGGGAAAAUGUGGAGUAUAUGGCUGUGAAUUGAUAAUUCUUGGAAUUAGGUGAUGAGAAAUG